AUAACAUGGCAGGGGAGAUCCCAAGGUCACAAAGGCGGCCUUCCCAGGGCGAGGCUCACUCAUCGCACUCUGGAUGGGUGGACCCCUGCCAUUUCCCCAAAUGUGGGAGACUCGACUGCAAAAUUUGUGGUAGUGGGGGGCUGCAUUUGCACUCUCCCC